ACUUUCUGAAUUAUGCCAAUUCCAAUGUCGAUUCUACUGGGCAUUAUUUUUUUUUUCUAAUAACAUUGAAUUCUUCAUGGUCAUGUUGUUUUAGAUAUAAGCAAACCAGCAAAGUACGUUAGUAUAUUUGCUUUUGUUUACUUGUUUUCUGGUUUAUCUAUUAUAGCAUGCUGUUGCUUUUGUAGGUGGAGUCAAUACUAGACAAGGAA
rnacentral:misc_RNA from 1 species